rnacentral:rRNA from 1 species
CAGAGGUCUCAAGCGUUGUUCGGAUUCAUUGGGCGUAAAGGGUGUGUAGGUGGCGCCGUAAGUCGGGUGUGAAAUUUCGGAGCUUAACUCCGAAACUGCAUUCGAUACUGCGGUGCUUGAGGACUGGAGAGGAGACUGGAAUUCAUGGUGUAGCAGUGAAAUGGGUAGAGAUCAUGAGGAAGACCAGUGGCGAAGGCGGGUCUCUGGACAGUUCCUGACACUGAGACACGAAGGCCAGGGGAGCAAACGGGAUUAGAUACCCCGGUAGUCCUGGCAGUAAACGGUGCACGUUUGGUGUGGGAGGAUUCGACCCCUUCUGCGCCGGAGCUAACGCGUUAAACGUGCCGCCUGGGGAGUACGGUCGCAAGAUUA